rnacentral:rRNA from 1 species
GACGAACGCUGGCGGCGUGCUUAACACAUGCAAGUCGAGCGGUAAGGCCUUUCGGGGUACACGAGCGGCGAACGGGUGAGUAACACGUGGGUGAUCUGCCCUGCACUUCGGGAUAAGCCUGGGAAGCUGGGUCUAAUACCGGAUAUGACCUCCUAUCGCAUGGUGGGUGGUGGAAAGAUUUAUCGGUGCAGGAUGGGCCCGCGGCCUAUCAGCUUGUUGGUGGGGUAAUGGCCUACCAAGGCGACGACGGGUAGCCGACCUGAGAGGGUGACCGGCCACACUGGGACUGAGACACGGCCCAGACUCCUACGGGAGGCAGCAGUGGGGAAUAUUGCACAAUGGGCGAAAGCCUGAUGCAGCGACGCCGCGUGAGGGAUGACGGCCUUCGGGUUGUAAACCUCUUUCAGCAGGGACGAAGCGCAAGUGACGGUACCUGCAGAAGAAGCACCGGCUAACUACGUG